CCUGCCAUGAGAAAGCUAACUUACAAGUUGAUUGAAAGUAUAAGAGAUGGAUACCAAUUUUUUUCAGCCAUUCCAUCCCUCUGCUAGUUGUUAGGAGUAAUUUUGGGCUUGUAAUAUGCCAAAACUACUUGGUUGCCUCUAAAUUUAAGAUGAAAAGAGACUCUAGACAAACUAGUUUCUAAAAUUAGCUAGCGGCCACUGCAUCGGCCCUUGGACUUGCACCCAAGAGUUGAUGCAGCUUGGCACCCGAGUUUGAGCUUCUCUCAUACAGCUCCCCCUCUUCCCCAGGGUUUCUAUCGACAGAGGCAGAAUUAUUAACUCCUGACAGCAGGUCCUCUGUACUAAUAGCUGAGGCCCUCUGCUCGUUACUGCUGUUCAAAAUAAUCUCUUGUGUGUGUCCUAAAUGUGAAUUUUUUAGCUUCUCCAGUAAUGAUGCAUUUUCCAGCCUUAGUUUCUCUGAUUUCUUGGUCAAUUGAUUUAUUUCUGAUUUAAGUGCCAAAUUUUCAGAAGUCAAGGAUUCCACUUUAUGAGCAAGUUCUUCAGUCUCAGC
rnacentral:misc_RNA from 1 species